GGGGGCGAAAAGGGCUCGACGGGGAUAGGUAGGAUUAAACAGCAGGCCGUGGUCGCACCCAACCACGUUAAAUAGGGUGCAAAAACACAACUGCCAACGAAUACGCCUACGCUUUGGCAGCCUAAGCGUGCUGCCACGCACCUUUAGACCUUGCCUGUGGGUCUAAAGGUGUGUGACCUAACAGGCUUUGGGAGGCUUAAUCGGUGGGGUUAAGCCUCCCGAGAUUACAUCCCACCUGGUAGGGUUGCUUGGUGCCUGUGACAAGCACCCUACGAGAUUUUCCCACAGGCUAAGCCUGUAGCGGUUUAAUCUGAACUAUCUCCGGACGCGGGUUCGAUUCCCGCCGCCUCCACCA
rfam:Thermodesulfobacterium commune DSM 2178, complete genome.